AGGCAUGCUACAUUGAUCAAAGAGUUUUCAGGGCUACCAACCUUACAGUAGAGGUUGAGUCAUAGUAUAUUUCUCCUACACUA